UGUCGUGCUUGAGGGAGGAACCGAGACAGGAGACUGACCCGCAGGGGGCAGGAGGGCAGCGCAGGGCAGCACUCGUGUGCAGGCCAGUUCUUGAGCGCCGCGAGCGAGGGAAGUGCGGAGCCAUGGCGCUGAAGAGGAUCCAGAAGGAGUUGACUGAUUUGCAGCGAGACCCUCCGGCACAGUGUUCAGCUGGCCCAGUUGGGGAGGACCUGUUCCAUUGGCAGGCCACCAUCAUGGGGCCGAACGACAGUCCCUUCCAGGGUGGAGUCUUCUUCCUGACCAUCCACUUCCCUACAGAUUACCCCUUUAAACCACCGAAGGUAGCAUUUACCACUAAGAUCUUCCACCCCAACAUCAACAGCAAUGGCAGUAUUUGCCUGGACAUCCUGCGGUCGCAGUGGUCACCUGCACUCACCGUUUCCAAAGUCCUCCUAUCCAUCUGCUCAUUGCUGUGUGACCCAAACCCGGAUGACCCGCUAGUACCAGAGAUCGCACACACCUACAAAGCUGACAGAGAAAAUUUUCCUGCCGGCGCGACGCUGUGACGUGGUUUGAACGUGAUGACAUGUAGCGCAACGUGCGGCAACUCUAUAACGAGCCAAAUGAGGGACAUUUUCGCAACGAUGCCAGCUCGCUCAAGCUGAACCAGCAGCGCCCAUUCAUAUCUCGUUUGAUGCGGUGUUCCUUCCUCUGUCUAACGGUACAACCGACUUGCAAUGGAAUGGACGCAGAAGUAUGCAAUGUGAAGGGGAAACACGGAGGACAUGACGCUGAAAUAGUGAAUGAGGACUUGGAAUACAGAACAUUUUUUUAGUGUGAACAGUGCCAAGGAGAAUGUCAGUGAGGGCCAGAGAUGAAGGAGGAACAACAAACCAGCUGCUCUCUUUGACUACCCUGUUCAGUUGGCUGAGACACACAAGUCCACAAUGGACAGACAGCUGGACAAAUCACCAAUAUGCAGCAUGACCUUUAUCCUCCUCUCAAUACCAAAGGACACCCAUCCUUGUGACAGACAUGGCUCUUUUUACAACUCUCAUUGUUAAUAUUUAUUGAAAUAGAAAUGUUGCUGUGAUUAUGAUGAAAUUUUACUAUUUAUCUUCUGAAGGGCUUGUAAUCAUGUCAGGAGAUGAGGCUUCUCUGAUAACAGCCUGACUUUUCUUGUGUCCAUGCAGGCCCUGUGGAGUAUGUUUGCCGUGCGUGAUGCACGGUUGACCCCGACAAUAUGUCAGUCAGAAAGUCAGCCCAAAGUUCUGGUAGAAUCAUAAACCUCUGCAUCUUCCCUUCUGUUGAGACAUUAUAGGAAAGUUUUGCAUAGUAGUAAGAGAUUUUCAUCCAUACAGGCUGUUUUACAAGUGUUCACAUACACAUGCAUAUGUUGAUAUAAUGAGAAAACUGAACUUUAUUUCUGCUGUCAAAUUAUUUCCCUUUAUGUAAACACACUUGUGGCCUUGGAGACAAGAAAUAUUGAAGAAACAUUGUUUUUGCUGAGUCAUCCUGUUUCUGAUGUGCCACAUAGGCCAAACACAUCUAAACUGAAUCUAGUGGGGCAUGGAUGCCUGCCAGAGCAACUCACUUGAGAUUCAUCGUUCUGUCUUUUUGCUUUCAUUUUGCUUCAGAGACACCCAGAAAUGUGCGUAUUAGUGAAAACAAUACUCUGGUAAUAUUUACUUUAAAAGUAGAACACUCAAGAAAUCUGAGUAUGUGUAAAGUCAAAGAAUCUACUCAAGGGUAAAGUUACUUUGAUUCAAAUUAUGCUUUUUAUUGUUCUGAACCACCUGCAACGUUAACAGCUUUAGUGUGUGGUUUGAAUUUUUUAAGGAGAAAAUAUAUAUUUUCAACAAACCAAACCAUUGCUGUUCCAAUAAAGUUGUUGGGAAUAAUGGUAACAAAAUACAAACAAAAUAAAAGAACAGUCUGCUAGCUUACAAACUUGUUAUAAAACAAGCUAUGGUAGCACAGUUGUUAGUUGCUUCUUUUGGAUCUGAAGGGUGUUGGUUUAAAGCCUGCCUACAAAAUGAGCAAGGUACUUAGCCUAAACUGCUCCACCUAGCUGUAUAAAUGGGUAAAUAGUUGCGGGUAUCUUAAGAUUGGCUUAGGAAAAAAAGUGUCAGCUAAGUGAAUAACGCACGUGUCAAGCUAGGUUUGGGUGUUGUGGAAUUUAGUUUGAAUAGAUAAGUCUGAAACGUCAAGGCUUUUAUUCCUUCCAACUAUCUGUACAAGCAGCAUGCUGGGAGCAACUCCAAAGAAAAGGUCCCCAAACAACGCUCGAUCAAAGUUAUCGAUAUUAACCUUCUGUUGCAUUAACACUUCUCAUAUGCUAUGAGAUACAAAUAAUGAAUGAUAAUAAAUAUCCAUCCAUACAAUUUCAAUAAACUGCUUGUUCUGGGCAAGGUCACGUUGAACCAGAGCCUAUCCUGGAGAUACUGGCUGCAAGGUGAGGGGUGGUACACCCUGGACAGGACACCAGUCCGCUGAAGGGUAGCCACAUGUGCACAAACUUACUCACUUACUCACACACUAUGGGCAAUUUAGUGUCACCAAUUCACCUUAACUUAGACUACGGAAAGAAACCCUCAGAAACAUGGAGAUAA